rnacentral:rRNA from 1 species
GUCGCAUGCUCCCGGCCGCCAUGACGGCCGCGGGAAUUCGAUUUAUUACCGCGCCUGCUGGCACGUAGUUAGCCGGGGCUUCUUCUGGAGGUACCGUCACCCUCUGGGCUAUUAACCCGAGUGGCUUCGUCCCUCCUGAAAGAGGUUUACAACCCGAAAGCCUUCUUCCCUCACGCGGCGUCGCUGCAUCAGGCUUUCGCCCAUUGUGCAAGAUUCCCCACUGCUGCCUCCCGUAGGAGUCUGGGCCGUGUCUCAGUCCCAGUGUGGCUGAUCGUCCUCUCAGACCAGCUACGGAUCGUCGCCUUGGUAGGCCGUUACCCCACCAACAAGCUAAUCCGCCGCGGGCUCGUCCCAGGCCGGAGGCCGAAGCUACCUUUUCCAGCCGUCCCGAGAGACUGCUGGGCCAUCCGGUAUUAAUCCGAGUUUCCCCGGGCUAUCCCGGUGCCGAGGGUGGAUUACUCACGUGUUACUCACCCGUUCGCCGCUUUCCCCAGGCCCGAAGGCCUGGUUCUCGCUCGACUUGCAUGUGUUAAGCGCGCCGCCAGCGUUCGUCCUGAGCCAUGAUCAAACUCUAAUCACUAGUGAAUUCGCGGCCGCCUGCAGGUCGACCAUAUGGGAGAGCUCCCAAC